rnacentral:rRNA from 1 species
GACGAACGCUGGCGGCGUGCUUAACACAUGCAAGUCGAACGGAAAGGCCCUGCUUUUGUGGGGUGCUCGAGUGGCGAACGGGUGAGUAACACGUGAGUAACCUGCCCUUGACUUUGGGAUAACUUCAGGAAACUGGGUCUAAUACCGGAUAGGAGCUCCCGCUGCAUGGUGGGGGUUGGAAAGUUUCGGCGGUUGGGGAUGGACUCGCGGCUUAUCAGCUUGUUGGUGGGGUAGUGGCUUACCAAGGCUUUGACGGGUAGCCGGCCUGAGAGGGUGACCGGCCACAUUGGGACUGAGAUACGGCCCAGACUCCUACGGGAGGCAGCAGUGGGGAAUAUUGCACAAUGGGCGGAAGCCUGAUGCAGCAACGCCGCGUGCGGGAUGACGGCCUUCGGGUUGUAAACCGCUUUCGCCUGUGACGAAGCGUGAGUGACGGUAAUGGGUAAAGAAGCACCGGCUAACUACGUG